GAUGAACGCUGACAGAAUGCUUAACACAUGCAAGUCAACUUGAAUUUGGGUUUUUUAACUUCGAUUUGGGUGGCGGACGGGUGAGUAACGCGUAAAGAACUUGCCUCACAGCUAGGGACAACAUUUGGAAACGAAUGCUAAUACCUGAUAUUAUGAUUAUAAGGCAUCUUAGAAUUAUGAAAGCUAUAUGCGCUGUGAGAGAGCUUUGCGUCCCAUUAGCUAGUUGGAGAGGUAACGGCUCACCAAGGCGAUGAUGGGUAGCCGGCCUGAGAGGGUGAACGGCCACAAGGGGACUGAGACACGGCCCUUACUCCUACGGGAGGCAGCAGUGGGGAAUAUUGGACAAUGGACCAAGAGUCUGAUCCAGCAAUUCUGUGUGCACGAUGACGUUUUUCGGAAUGUAAAGUGCUUUCAGUUGGGAAGAAAAAAAUGACGGUACCAACAGAAGAAGUGACGGCUAAAUACGUG
rnacentral:rRNA from 1 species